rnacentral:rRNA from 1 species
GGUCCAGACACCUACGGGUGGCAGCAGUCGAGAAUUUUUCACAAUGGGGGAAACCCUGAUGGAGCGACGCCGCGUGGGGGAAGAAUGGCUUCGGCCCGUAAACCCCUGUCAUUUGCGAACAAACCCCGUCCCUGAACAGGGGGCGGGCUGAUAGUAGCAGAAGAGGAAGGGACGGCUAACUCUGUGCCAGCAGCCGCGGUAAGACAGAGGUCCCAAGCGUUGUUCGGAUUCACUGGGCGUAAAGGGUGCGUAGGCGGCAAGGUAAGUUUGUGGUGAAAUCUCCGGGCUUAACCCGGAAAAUGCCCUGAAUACUAUCUUGCUAGAGGAUCGGAGGGGAGACUGGAAUUCUCGGUGUAGCAGUGAAAUGCGUAGAUAUCGAGAGGAACACCAGUGGCGAAGGCGAGUCUCUGGACGAUACCUGACGCUGAGGCACGAAAGCCAGGGGAGCAAACGGGAUUAGAUACCCCGGUAGUCCUGGCCCUAAACGGUGCGCACUUGCUGUGGGCGGAUUCGACCCCGCCCGUGGCGUAGGAAACCCGAUAAGUGCGCCGCCUGGGGAGUACGGUCGCAAGAUUAAAACUCAAAGAAAUUGACGGGGGCCUGCACAAGCGGUGGAGUAUGUGGCUUAAUUCGAUGCAACGCGAAGAACCUUACCUGGCCUUGACAUGCACGUGGUAGAAGCGUGAAAGCGUGACGAUCCCAGCAAUGGGAAGCGUGCACAGGUGCUGCAUGGCUGUCGUCAGCUCGUGUCGUGAGAUGUUGGGUUAAGUCCCGCAACGAGCGCAACCCCUACGUCCUGUUGCCACCGGCCCGCAAGGGCCGAGCACUCUGGACGGACUGCCUCGCUUCAACGAGGAGGAAGGUGGGGAUGACGUCAAGUCAGUAUGGCCCUUACGGCCAGGGCUGCACACGUACUACAAUGCCCGGCACAGAGGGGAGCCAGCCAGCAAUGGCAAGCCAAUCCUUAAAACCGGGCCCAGUUCAGAUUGUCGGCUGCAACUCGCCGGCAUGAAGCUGGAAUCGCUAGUAAUGGCGCAUCAGCUACGGCGCCGUGAAUACGUUCCCAGGCCUUGUACACACCGCCCGUCACAUCAUGAAAGCCGUCUGUACCCAAAGCCGCCGGGCCAACCGCAAGGGGGCAGGUGCCUAAGGUAUGGAUGGUGAUUGGGAUGAAGUCGUAACAAGGUAGCCGUAGGGGAACCUGCGGCUG